CUUCUUCUUUCCUCUUCUGCUCCUCUUCUCCUCUGUUCUUCUCUGUUUCAUGACGAGAGAUGAAGGUGAGGUUGAUUGUGUAUGAGCGUUUCUUCUCAUGCUUGGUGUAUUUAUGAACUGAGUGAAGUGGUGACGUUACUGAAGAUGAUUUAGUUCUGGAAAAGCAACGAAUUGUUCAUCUUUAUUAACAACAAUCGAUUCAAAAGAUGAACCCGUGGAUUGUGGAUCUCGAGGUAGGCAUGGCUUGUCAUCAAUUCAGUUUUAACAUUCAGGAGACACGUGAAGAUAUUCGUUUCCGUAGCGUAAAGUUUCAGCGAAUUGAAGAUAUUUAUUUAUAUUUUAUAUAUGUAUAUUUUCUCUGUAAACAACACAUGGUUAUAUUCGUAUCACAUGAGAGAUCUUCAUUUUAUCUGUAACAGAGUGUAUGGGUUUUGCUUUUGGGCUUAGUUUAUGUAGUCUAGAUUCUUGAGAUCGUUAGUCUAGAUUUUAUGCUUCAAUUAGUUUGUAAUCCUAUUAGCUAAGCAGGUUUAGUAAUUGGGGCGUCACAAGUUGGUCAUUGGAAAGAUGCAUGUGUAUUUUGGUGCGCUUUAUAUGUCCAUAUGCGAACUAUGAUGCAUCGAUACUGAUACGGGGAUUCGUCAAUUUUCAUAAAAUGGGAUACGGUGGGA